rnacentral:rRNA from 1 species
CACGGAGUUAGCCGAUGCUUAUUCGUACGGUACUCUCGUCAGGCCACGCGUGGCCCUUAUUGCUCCCGCACAAAAGAAGUUUAACGCCCAUAGGGCACUGACCUUCACGCGGCAUGGCUGGUUCAGCCUUCCGGCCAUUGACCAAUAUUCCUCACUGCUGCCUCCCGUAGGAGUCUGGACCGUGUCUCAGUUCCAGUGUGGGGGACCUUCCUCUCAGAACCCCUAGACAUCGUCGCCACGGUGGGCCGUUACCCCGCCGUCUAGCUAAUGUCACGCGAGCCUAUCCUCAUCCGACGGAUCUUUAGAUGAAAUCAGAUGCCUGAUUCCAUCACCAUGGGGCAUUAGACGCCGUUUCCAGCGAUUAUUCCCCUGACUGAGGGCAAGUUGCUCACGCGUUACGCACCCUUGCGCCGGUCGCCAUCAGAGAGUAUUGCUACUCUCCAUGCUGCCCCUCGACUUGCAUGUGUUAAGCCUGCCGCU